GCCGGGGUGGCGUAGUUGGUAGCGCGUCGGACUCAUAAUCCGAAGGUCGCGGGUUCAAGCCCCGCUCCCGGCA
rnacentral:tRNA from 3 species